AGAGCUAUGUCUUGUGUUAUUUUAAACCUGGUACCUUCUCUCAAUCUUGAUGGCAGCAACACCAGUGCCAACUCUGCCAGAUUAUCAAACAGUCUCUCUUGCUUCUUUGNNNNNNNNUUCUUCUUCGUCUUCCUUCUUUCUGGGACCCUUGAGUUCCAUUCACAGCAAAAAUCGUUGUGAUUCCCUCCGCGUAAUCAAGGGCUCUAGGUCGUUUUCCUCGGUGUUCAAGUGUGUUUCCCAG
rnacentral:misc_RNA from 1 species